rnacentral:sRNA from 1 species
GGGAAUUUUCCGCAAUGGGCGAAAGCCUGACGGAGCAAUACCGCGUGGGGGAUGAAGGCUCUUGGGUUGUAAACCUCUUUUCUCAGGGAAGAAAAAAAUGACGGUACCUGAGGAAUAAGCAUCGGCUAACUCCGUGCCAGCAGCCGCGGUAAUACGGAGGAUGCAAGCGUUAUCCGGAAUGAUUGGGCGUAAAGCGUCUGUAGGUGGUUUGGCAAGUCUGCCGUUAAAGGUCGGGGCUUAACUCCGAAAAGGCGGUGGAAACUGCCAGACUAGAGUGUGGUAGGGGUAGAGGGAAUUCCCGGUGUAGCGGUGAAAUGCGUAGAUAUCGGGAAGAACACCGGUGGCGAAGGCGCUCUACUGGGCCACAACUGACACUGAGGGACGAAAGCUAGGGGAGCGAAAGGGAUUAGAUACCCCUGUAGUCCUAGCUGUAAACGAUGGAUACUAGGUGUUGCCUGUAUCGACCCGGGCAGUGCCGUAGCUAACGCGUUAAGUAUCCCGCCUGGGGAGUACGCACGCAAGUGUGAAACUCAAAGGAAUUGACGGGGGCCCGCACAAGCGGUGGAGUAUGUGGUUUAAUUCGAUGCAACGCGAAGAACCUUACCAGGGCUUGACAUGUCCGGAACCUCUGGGAAACUAGGGGGUGCCUUCGGGAGCCGGAACACAGGUGGUGCAUGGCUGUCGUCAGCUCGUGUCGUGAGAUGUUGGGUUAAGUCCCGCAACGAGCGCAACCCUCGUUUGAAGUUGCCAGCAUUAAGUUGGGCACUCUGAAGAGACUGCCGGUGACAAACCGGAGGAAGGUGGGGAUGACGUCAAGUCAGCAUGCCCCUUACGUCCUGGGCUACACACGUACUACAAUGCUACGGACAAAGGGCAGCAACUCCGCGAGGGGAAGCAAAUCCCAGAAACCGUGGCUCAGUUCAGAUUGCAGGCUGCAACUCGCCUGCAUGAAGGUGGAAUCGCUAGUAAUCGCCGGUCAGCAUACGGCGGUGAAUACGUUCCCGGGCCUUGUACACACCGCCCGUCACACCAUGGAAGCUGGUAAAGCCCGAAGUCGUUACCCUAACCCGAAAGGGAGGGGGAUGCCGAAGGCAGUGCUGGUGACUGGGGUGAAGUCGUAACAAGGUAGCCGUACCGGAAGGUGUGGCUGGAUCACCUCCUUAAAGGGAGACCUGCUUAAUCUAGACCGACCCAAAGUAAAAGAGGUCAGAUGUAAGGCAUCCCAGGUCGUGCGAGGAAAAAACUGGUUGCUAAGGCUUUCAAACUCUGUUUCGGUUCGGGACGUGGCGUUAGAAACCGCGUCUAGACAAACAAACUCCACCGACGUGGAAUAAAUAGAGACCUCACGACAAAAUAGGAAAAAAUGUCAGAAAAAAGUUAGUAAAAAGCUUGACAUCGGAAAAAAGGUCGUGAUAGACUAGAAAAGGUGGGAAAAAGAAGCUAGCAACUGAAAAGGGAGAUUGCCCAUCAGCCUGCUGGACUCUAAACCAGCCAGAACCUUGAAAACUGCAUAGUAACAUAUCAGCAGAGUAGUCAGUAAGAAGUAAGCGUUAGGAAUGACGUGUAAUAUCUUGCAGACUGUUUUGAAUGUGGUCAAGCUACAAAGGGCUUACGGUGGAUACCUAGGCACACAGAG